AUUGAACGCUGGCGGCAUGCCUUACACAUGCAAGUCGAACGGCAGCACGGGAGCAAUCCUGGUGGCGAGUGGCGAACGGGUGAGUAACAUAUCGGAACGUGCCCAGUAGUGGGGGAUAGCCCGGCGAAAGCCGGAUUAAUACCGCAUACGACCUGCGGGUGAAAGCGGGGGAUCGCAAGACCUCGCGCUAUUGGAGCGUCCGAUAUCAGAUUAGCUAGUUGGUAGAGUAAAAGCCUACCAAGGCAACGAUCGGUAACUGGUCUGAGAGGAUGAUCAGUCACACUGGAACUGAGACACGGUCCAGACUCCUACGGGAGGCAGCAGUGGGGAAUUUUGGACAAUGGGCGAAAGCCUGAUCCAGCAAUGCCGCGUGGGUGAAGAAGGCCUUCGGGUUGUAAAGCCCUUUCGGAUAGAAAGAAAACUCUUACUCUAACAUAGUGAGAGAAUGACGGUACUAUCAUGAGAAGCACCGGCUAACUACGUGCCAGCCGCCGCAGUAAUAC
rnacentral:rRNA from 1 species